rnacentral:rRNA from 1 species
UACAGAGGUCUCAAGCGUUGUUCGGAUUUAUUGGGCGUAAAGAGCUCGUAGGCGGUCUGUCGCGUCUGCUGUGAAAACUCGGGGCUUAACCCCGGGCCUGCAGUGGGUACGGGCAGACUAGAGUGCGGUAGGGGAGACUGGAAUUCCUGGUGUAGCGGUGAAAUGCGCAGAUAUCAGGAGGAACACCGAUGGCGAAGGCAGCUCGCUGGGACGGUACUGACGCUGAGGCGCGAAAGCGUGGGGAGCAAACAGG